GGUCUUGUUGAAUUGUUAAACAUAUUUUUCUUUAAUCUGCAGAGGCACAAAAAAACAAAAAAACCCUCCAAAAAACGUUUAAUUUUCUUCUGCUUGAUUAUCGGCCUAGGCUUGCGCUACUUAUCAUUGCUGAGUCAGUUGUCUGUUUGAGCUACUUCUUUGAAGGAACAGUCGAUUAUUGGCAAGGGUGACUUUAUGUGUUUGGUUACUUAAGUGGAAGGACUGUGGAAAGUUUAACCUUACAUACAUACAUCUGACAGCACAGGAUCUGAGGAGGUUCAGCAGGUUCUGAGGUAACUGUCUACAAGAUGUUGUUUCCUGUCCAAAAGUUCUUUGCAAUUUUACCUUGAGAAACAUUAUCCUUAACAUAUUUGACCCGCACUAAGUACUAUGGCCAUCACACUGUCAUUUAUAAUUGUUUUAAUAACUCGUGUCUUAACUCAUUCCAUCAUGCAGAAAAUAAAAAAGCUGCAUGGUUCACUUUUACAUCACAAAAUGUUAGAAAUAUAAGCCGUUCAUAACAACCUGAAAAGUUGGAGUUUAAAAUGCAAACCAAUGAAAGCAGAAGUAGAAGACUACAAUGUCACAGAGCACACGGCGUCUAUUAUUGUGUAGACAUUUAUAAAUAAGAGCUUAAUAAAGACGCUUAAUUUCUUACGAAAUAUGCAGAUGGAGUGAUCUUUAUCAAAAAAGUGGAAGUCACGUCUGUGGCAAAACCCCUUGGACACAAGAACUUCAACAAUCUAUAGUGUGUGAGGCUGUUUAAGUAAAGGGUGGCUUGCACUUCUCGCCCACGUGUAACAAACCAUCUGUUGGGGGUUGUGGAUUUGAAACCUUAGUGUAGUAAAGUAGAUUUUGGGUAGGCUUUUAAGUGAUGUCUGCGAAUGCAGCACUAACAUCCACACCUUCCCAGCUGAUAAUUAGAGGCCUUAUAAGAAACAGCUGCGCUUCUCUACUACACGGAGGCAUUUGGCAUUCUUUUCCCAUCCAAGGUGGCUAAGCACUGCAGAGUGGUUUUAUUUCUUCAAGAAAGCUGCUCAUUUUAGUAUUGCCCUUUAGGGAGUGGAUCGUGUCACACUGCUGCUGUCUUGUUGUAGCCUUGUUGUCAUUUUACAAACGUUUAUGGACUGGCCUUGACUGACUCCUGGUUUAUGUGGUGAUACGGCCGCUUGUUGUGGGGUAGGCACGUGAGGUGGAAUCACCCCCUGAUGUACGACAGUCUACACACUGGGAAUAGGUAGCCUGCACCAUUUAGAUUGCAGUGUAAGUGACAGUGAGGUUUGCAGUGGAACUACACGGGUGAGUAAUUGGUGUCUGUGGGUUUUGUCAAACUUGGGGUGAACAAAAGCAGAAAAACUGUAAAAGAUGCUCUUUGUUGGAUUUAAUAUGAACAGCCACAUUCAUUCUAAUUUUUUUUUGCCUUGGCUUCAAUUAAGAUGUGUCUUUAAAUCUACGAUACCUUUCUUGUUCAAAAAGUUUACUGACAUAGUAAAGAAGUAGCUAGAGAACUCAGUAAGUAUGAACAGAAAUAGCUUAGGGACUCUUUCUCAAAGAGGAUUUCAUCAUCUGCAGCUCGUGG